UAUAAUCAUCUUUCUCCCUCCUUCUUCGUACUCAUCUUCACCCCUCCCCUGCUUCCUUAUAAUCUUUUCUUCUUCUUUUUCUUUUUAAUUCUUCAAUUUCUCUGUUCAUCCACACUAAAUUAAAUUAAUUUAUACCUUUGGGUCUGUAGUGAGUUAAAUCUUCUAAUUUUUUAUGUCCUCUGUUUUUUUACUUCACCAUCAAUUAGAGUGCAGGUUGUUGAGUCAGUAAAUCAAUUGAAGAGAAGAUGAAGGAUAAUUGGAAGAGGUUGGAAAAUUAGAAUUUGGGAAUUAGGUGAAAAUCACCGUGGUAGGAAAUGAAGGGAAAUUGGGUACAACAGGCACAAAAAGGAGGGAAAUUAGUCAUGGAAGGUCACGUGACUUUCACGUGGAAAAGUCAACGCUGGAGAUACGGGUCAACGGUUACAAUCCGGCAUAAGGUACUAUAUUACAACAUUUUAUGUUUUAUAAGGUAGUUUCUUACAACAUAUUUUUUAUAAGGUAGUUUUUCACAAAAAAUGAAUUUUAUAAGGUAGUUUCCAACAAAUUUGCCUAAAUUUUUGGGUGAACAUCGAAGACCCAUAAAUCUGUUGGAUUAAGCCUCAUAUCGGUGGUCGGACUUCGGUACAAAAGGAAAGCAAAGUGAGGUUUAAAAAAAAUCAUCUCAUAUCUUCUCUUUGAACCAUAGCUACUUAAAUACUUCGUACAUAGUAAUAAACAAAGAUACAAGAAAUUUAACUAUUUAAGAUUGAAAAAAUUAUACUCUUUCUAUCUAUCAAGAAUGUGAUUAUGAUUUUGGUACUUGCGAGAGUAUACUUAUGAUAUUAUCUUAAUUGCAUUCCCAAACGGUAAUGGAAAAAAAAAUCCUAACUACAAAUACAACAAUACCUUUAAUUUCUACGGAGUAUUUGGCAUAGAAGUCCUAUACCUCUUAAAACUUUUACAAUUGAACAAUGGUUAUCUAAAACACAAUUGAAGCAUUGAAUGAUUUGAAUAAAAUCCUAAAAUAUAAGAUUAUAACAUUGAAGCAUUAACACAACCUAGCGGUUUGUCUUACGUCCUACUCUCUGCCCUCAACAACAAUGCUUGGCUGCUUGCUGAUUCCCAACGGAGGCAUCUAAAACUCCUAAUGACUGAUGUAUACAACCACAAGAGGCUAAAAGUAAAAUUAUUAAGCAUCAGCAAAACAUAUUAACACCAUCAAAAACGUGAUUUUGUCAUAAAUUCCUAAACUAAUACUCCCUCCGUCCCGGAAUAUUUGAAACGCUUUCCUUAUCGGGCCGUCCCGGAUUACUUGAAACGCUUCUAAAAAUGGAAACUUUACAUAAUAUUUUAUUAUUUUCUCACCAUACCUAAGGGCCCACCAACAACCAUACUACCCCAAAUAAACAUUAAAAAAUUCAUGACCCCCACCACAUCCCACUAUCUAUAUUAAAAAAAUACUCCACUACUAACUCCCUUUCAAUUAAAUAAGAAGUCAAUUAUAAUGAAUUAAACUCCGUGCCGGUCAAACGGUUUCAAGUAUUAUGGGACGGAUGGAGUACAAAGUACGGAGUACCAUUCUUUGAAAAUAUCAUGAACCUAAAAAAUGCAGGAUGAAAUCAAUUGAUUACCUGCCAUUGUUCAAAAGUUCAAAACCCUGCAUACUCUUAGAGUUCAACUUCUUAAUCGCCACCGCGAUUUUAACCCCACUCUUAGAAUACACAUUAGCCUUCUCAUCGAUCCAACCCUUGUACACCCUCCUAAGUCCUCCUUUGCCUAGAAGUCUUUCAGGCUUGAAAUUCUUUGUAGCAUUCUUUAGUUCCGCAAAACUAAAACUCCUUAAAUUGUGUUUUUCCAAUAGUUUUCCAGUGUGAGAGGUUUCCCCAACACAACAAAAUCAGAAAAGACUUGAUCUUCCUCAAAUUAAUGUCUUCAUCAGUUUUAUUUUGCAAUUCCAUCCCCUAACCUAAAUAUAUUCUCAAUCAUAAAUUUAACCAACCCCUUAAAAUUAAAAUCAAAAUCAAAAUUAAGAACAUACACAGGGAAGACAAUUUUUGAGUAGGCAAUGAGAAGAAGAAAUAUUUGUUAACUAUACAAAUUAGAACUAAAAUUACUGGACAUAAAAAAAAAAAAAAAGCAUGAGUACAUUUACCUUGGUUAAUUACUUAAUUUGCCGGAUAAAAAUAGAACACAUAAUUCAUUAUAAAAAAAAGGAAAAAUUGAUAAAGGCAGUCCCAACUAUGGACGUUUAUCUUUAAAAGGUCCAAACUACGGAUUAUUAUUGGCCGGUCCCAACUAAGGGGGUUGUUGACUUUGCGUGGGUCUUUUUUCAAAAUGACCGGUUUACUAAGUUGAAGACGAUGACGUGUCGGGUCAUUUAAAAAAAUCACGUGCCACUUUAAAACAAAUCCACCCAUUUAAUAAAAAGCCCACCCAUUUAACUAAAAUCCCACCCAUUAAAUAAAAAACCAACCACUUAAAAUACCCACCCAAUUAUUUGGGUGUUUGAUUUUGAUUUUUUAUUUUUUUUACCUCCUUCCUCCCUCAGCAACACCAACUGCAACAACCUCCCACCACCCUAGCUACCAAACCCAACCGUCGACCCCAAAAUCUCACCGCCCACCACAUGUCUGUUUACCAAUCUCCCUUCUGUCUUUCACUUCUCGGUUUCUGUCCAACGCAAACCCGAACGGAGAAGCUGCACUGCACUCUCCUCUCGCUCACACCAUAUCUGUCGGAGCUGCGAACUCGCCGCACUACACUCCCCUCUCGCCGGAGAUGCAAACAAGCCGCCCUACACUCCCCUCUAUUUCGCGGCAGGGUUCGAAGGUUCCAACCCAGAUCUCGCCGCCCACAACAAUGGUCGUGCAUAAGAUCUCCUUGUUUUUAAAUUUUUUUUAUUAAAUUAAAAAAAUAAUUAUUUGCCGACGGUGGAGGCUGAAGGGGCCGGCGGUGGAGGCUGAAGGGGAGAGUUUGCGCGCAUCGUGAAGGUGAGAGGCGAGGAGGGAGGAGAGGAAAGUGGUGGCCGGUGGUGGAUGCGGGGGUGGAUUUGGUGGAGAGAGAAAAAAGUUAAGAAUAUUUAUUUUGGGUAAAAAAAAAAAAUCCUUGACUUACACAUCCGGUCACCGGUAAAAAGACCCACGCAAUGUAAACACCCCCCUUAGUUGGGACCAGUCAGUAAUAAUCCAUACUUGAGACCUUUUAAAGAUAAACGUCCAUAGUUCAGACUGCCUUUAUCAAUUUUUCCUAAAAAAAAACAUACCCAAUUUCUUUGUGGUUGCCAUACUGAUGUUGAUUUUAAUUUCUGCAAUUGAACAAUAAACAAUUGAUUUACAAAUUGUUAUGAAAUCGAAAAUUUGCGGAAAAAUGAAUUGAAAAUGUGAAUCGAGAGAGGAAAAUACAGAAUUUGGAUAUCCAAGUCCAAAAUAACCGUUAGUGGAACUGUGGAAGGAUGCAAGAAAAUUAAUGUUUGAAGUAAAAUCGAUAGCAGAAGUAGGAGGACUUUGAAAGAUCGAAGAGAAUUGUAAUUGGAUUUACAGUUGAUUAUAGAUUUGCUCUUGAUUUCUAUGAGAGAACGAAACGACGGAAGUAAGAGGGGGUGAUUUUCACUUUUCACGGAAGGAAGAUGACGAAAAGACGUAAGUAACUAAGUAAAUAUAGUUUUUUUUAAAUAAAAGUAAUAAAAUAUGGAAAAUAAAAAAAAGCCACGUGGCACUCUAAAUUUCUCUUAAACCUCCCUGCUAUUAAAUAUUAGAAUAGAUUAGUUAGGCAAUAGAAUCAAUUAGUUAGGCAAUGAAACCAAUUAGUUAAGUCAUAGAACUAAUUAGUUACAGUACUUAACUAAUUAGUUAAGCGAUAAAUAGAACCAAUUAGUUAAGUAAUUAAAGCGGUCUUUUCGGUAAGACGGUCUUACACAUAACUUGCCGUAUAUAAAAUCAUUCGACCACCUUGGCAAUUCGUGGAAGGUGGACACGAGUCCACGUAGACGUACAUGCACCUCCUUCAAACACACAACAAUUUGUCUAAAAAACACAACUUUGCUUUAUUAAAAAAAAGGGAAAGGAAGCCAAUGGCAGGUACUAAACAAGAUAUUCAAGGGGGGAAUAAAAAAAAUGGUAAUAUCAAAUCCCCUGUAAAUUCGCUGGUUAUUUGUACUAGUCAAAGAUUCACUCUCUGUCUUUCUCAAUUUCUCAAUCUUCGACCCUAAAUUCCCUCCAUUCUACUAGAAAUGAAUCUAAUUUCAACACUAUCCCAAUUCAAUCUUUUUAGCUUCCCUACCCAAACUCUAACUAGUAUAAUAGAUUGCAAACUGGAGAAAUAGAAUUUUGAAAUUGAUCUUCAUGACUGAAGACAAAGAACACGGUGAAAAGGAAGGAGAACAAACAAGAAGAAUUCAUAUGUAUAUUCUACUUAUAUACUACUAUAAAUUAUAAUUCAUAUUCGAAUCCGAUGAGGGGGAAGGGGGACGGAAGAGGAAGGCUCCUUUCCAUCUAUCUUGACCGGGAAGAGGGGGGAGGCCCCGGGUUAGUAGAUUGAAUGUACUGCUACUAUAUGACUGGAAUUUGGAAAAAUGCCCAAUUUCAUGUUCGUAGCCGUAUUCUUUUGAAUUAUUUGUGAUGUUAUUUCUAGUUUAUUGUUGUGUUCUUUUAUACUUUGUGAUGUUCUUUCUGAAGGAAAUAAUGCCCUUGGUCCAAGUAUGCAUUCUAUGUCUAAUAAGUGCGGUUCAGUAUUAAUUAACAAGUUAAUAAUUCAGUGAGAUCAAGUGAGCUGAAUGCCUAGCUAGAGGCCGCUUCAGUUCAAGUGGAAUUAAUGAUAUUAAUCCACAGCUUACUCUUGACUGAACCCGUAGGGUCACACAAAUAGUACGUAAACGGAUCAAGUAUUUAAUGGCAUUAAAUACUCCAUCUAUGGAUAUUCGGAAUCGACGGAUCUUGGUUUCAGUGGGAGCUGAGAUCGUCACAGGCAAGAAAUGAAUACUCCGGAAACGAUGAUAUUGCCGGAAACGGAAAUAUGGAUCGUAUCGGAAAUAUGAAUAUUAUCCAAGUCGUAGAUGUUGCCGGAAACGGAAACAUGGUACGUAUCGGAAAAUAUUAUCGGAAAUGGAAAUAUUGCCGGAAUCGGAAAUAUUGCCGGAAACGGAAAUAUUGUCAGAAUCGGAAAUAUUAUCGGAAUCGGAAAAUAAUUUCGGAAACGGAAAUAUUAAAUAUUUGUUCGAAACGGAAAUUGAUUCCGGAAUCGGAAAUAUUGAAUAUUGUUCGUAUCGGAAAUGAAUUCCGGAAUCGGGAAAUUAAUCGGAAGCGUAUCGUACGAAUUAGCAUCGGACGAGGCCUGCCAGACGAAGGCCCAGCACGAAGCCGGGCCAUCGCCCAGCAAGCCAGCGCGCCACAAACGCACCAGCCAAGGCUGCGCCAGGCCCACCGCAAGGCAGGCCCAGCGCGCGCCAAGGCUACGGCAGCGUGUGGGCUUGCGGCAGUGGGCUGCGAGCUCGCGGGCUGCGCGCGCGCGCAUGGCGCCCCUCGUGGGCUGCUGCGCGCGCGCGCAUGGCGCCCCUCGUGGGCUGCUGUGCGUGCGUGUGUGUUUGUGUGCUACUCGAAUCCUAAAGCUACCGGGAUUUGUCAUAUGAUUAAAUCUAAUCCUAAAAGAUUUAGUUUAUUUAAUUAGAGUCCUAGUAGGAUUAUAAUUAAACAAAUUAGUAUCCUAAUAGGAUUUCAAAUCAUUUUCCAUAACUCUAUAAAUAGGUGCCUAGGGUCGCAUAUUUACACAGAGAGUAUUCAAGUAUUCAAAGUGAGUUUUUGAGAGCAAAAUUCAGUAAUACAAUUGCCUAUAAAGUGCCGAAAAUUCUAAGUACCUUAAGGGCGAUUCUAGUUGGUCAAUCUUAAGGCGGAUCCGGACGUGCUGUGGACUAUCUACGGAGGGACGACACUUGGAGUCCAAAAGACUUGUUCUUGUUCGGUUCGGGCGCAGCUAGGGAAGGCACGCAACAAAGAAUAGGCGAAAACCUUCAGAAUAAUGAAUGCCAUGAAGAUCUUACGCAUAACUCUCUCGCCUAUUUUACACAGGUAUGUUCCCCUUAUCUUCGUCUAUUUUUAGGAAUAUUUGGAAUUGAUUUAGAAUUUUAGUUAUCAAUUCAUGUUUUUGGGUUUAUUAUUUGGAUUUUAUUCAUGCGAAAUAACGAUUUGUUGCUUAAUUUUUGUUGUAUUUCGUUUUUUUAUUAUUGGUUAACAAAUUUUUUUUAUUUGCAUGUGGUCUCCCUCCAUGAGUGAGUUGGAGAGAGAGAUGCAGGAGCCGUGAGCGAGAUGACGGCGAGCCGGUGUUGAGGCGCGCGAGGCGGUGGUCGAGGCGCUAUCCGAGGCGAUAGGAUUCGUGAGAAGUGUAUACUUACUUGUAUAGGAGCAACUUCAAGAACGAUGAUACGGUUCUUCUGAGAAUCAAACUUCGCGAAUGAUUCUUCUUCUUCUUCUGAGAACUGAAGAACGUUGUUUUCCGGUUCUUGUUUUUGGGUUUUUUUUUCUUUGCAGAUUUUGGAGAAUUUUUUGGACUGUUUUUUCGAUUUACAGUGUAAAUUUUUUUUAAUUUGGCAAUUAGAAUAAGCUGUAAUAAUUUGUAAUAAUUUCUUUCCUAAUGUUUAUUUUAUUUCCUGA